rnacentral:rRNA from 1 species
UACGGAGGGGGCGAGCGUUAUUCGGAAUUAUUGGGCGUAAAGGGCGCGUAGGCGGCGCGAUAAGUCAAAGGUGAAAUCCCUCGGCUCAACUGAGGAACUGCCUUUGAAACUGUCGAGCUCGAGGCCGGGAGGGGGUAGCGGAAUUCCCAGUGUAGCGGUGAAAUGCGUAGAUAUUGGGAGGAACACCAGUGGCGAAGGCGGCUACCUGGACCGGUUCUGACGCUGAUGCGCGAAAGCGUGGGUAGCAAACAGG